GAGGACUCACACACACACUCACAAAGAGGGCUGUUUUCCCCUCGCCAAUAGUAGGCUGGACAUUGUCAAAGCCAAACCACCAAUCACAGUGCGCUUCUGGACACCCUUCUCCUCCCACUGCUAUAUAAAAAAGGGGGCUCCAGCUGGUGGACACGCAGCUGACAGCGCAACGAUUUUCUUAACACAGCAGCUGGAAUAAUUACAAUACGUUCAUUUUUAUUUUUUGCUAUAUUCUGACUGGAUAUUAAUAAUUUCCUUUUAUAUAUCUAAUAUGGCAGACAGCCAGGUGGAAAGCAGCGGAGAACUGAGCACCAAGUUUGUCAGAGAUUUCUCAGAGAGUUUGCAGAAUUGUCAUUAGACUGAAAGAGUUUAAUGAUUCCCUACAUUACACUGAACUCUUGCAAGUCUAGAAAAGGAGCUGCUGGACAGACAUCAGCUGAGUGAACACAAGGAGAGAUGAGUCCUCCAUCACAGAUGGUGUGGUCAGUGAAGAUGGUCACCUGCAUCUUCAAGGAGCUGAAGGAGAAGAAACAGACUGAAGAGACAGAGAAUGGAGAAGACUCUGCUGCCAAUGGCAAAAAUGACAAGGAAAAUGGUGAGGAAGACAAUGAGGUAGAGGAGGAUGAGGAGGAUGUGGGCGACGAAGAGGAGGAGGAUAGAGAAGGUGACGAGGAGGAUGAUGAAGAAGAUGACAUUGAUGGACCGAGGGUGAAGAGAGCAGCUGAUGACGAUGAUGAUGACGAGGAUGAGGUUGAAAGCAAGAAGCAGAAGACAGAUCAGUAGUGUCUGCAGCGCCCACUCUGCACGGAGGACGACACUAUUGAAAGACAGCCAGCAAACCUUCUACACCUCAGUCCUCCUUUCGUAACAAAAAUGUGUUUAAAAAGAAAAUUUGUUUGUAUUUUUAUUUACAUUUUAUAUUUUUGUAAAUAUUGUAAGGAGUUUGGCCAUUUUGCAAAAGUGAUCUGGGUAUACAGUGGUGCUCUGAAGACUUUUAGAUCAACAUCAACCAUCCAUACUCUGUCUCAACCACCAGCCUGUCAUUCCAACAGCACACACACACACACGUACUACAACUACCUUUUUUCUGUUUUUCUAAGACGUAUAGGAUGCUAGAAGUUGUGUGUUGACCUGUAGUUGCAUGGGAGUGUUAAAAUAACUCGGCUCUUUUCCCAGUGCUGGGGAUAUAUUAGUGGUAGUUUCUAUGAGAUUCCAAAGUCGUAGUUUCUCUUGUCCAUGUGUCUCUAUCUGUGUGUCCGUCAUGGCCAGAUUAUAAUUUUUUUUAAAUGUCUGUGCAAUUUGGUUGAAUAAUAAAUUCAUUUGAUUUUGUUUUUAGAUUUGGACUGAUUCUGCUUUAAUUAAAAAAGAAGUUUG
ensembl:lncRNA